rnacentral:tRNA from 1 species
GGGUAUAUAGCUCAGUGGUAGAGUAGGAGCCUAGCAAGCACAAGGUCCUGGGUUCAAUCCCCAGUACCUCCA